rnacentral:lncRNA from 1 species
CAGGUCAUAAGUACCUUGCUGAUAAAACAGGUUGCAGUAAGGAAGCCGGCUAAAACUCACCAAAACCAAGAUAGUGAUAAGAGUGACCAGAGGUCACUGGUGGUCCUCACUGCUACACUCCCAUCAGUGCCAUGACAGUUUACAAAUGCCAUGGCAACGUCAGGAAGUUACCCUAUAUGGUCAAAAAAGGGGAGGCAUGGAUAAUUCACCCCUUGUUUAGCAUAUAAUCAAGAAAUAACCAUAAACAUGGACAACCAGCAGCCCUCGGGGCUGCUCUAUGGAGUAGCCAUUCUUUUGUUCCUUUACUUUCCUAAUAAACUUGCUUUCACUUUACUCUAUGGACUCACCCUGAAUUAUUUCUUGCAUGAUAUCUAUGAACAAAAGAAGUCAUUAUACAAAAAAGAUACCUGCAUACACAUUUAUAGCAGCACAAUUUGCAAUUGCAAAAAUAUGGAACCAGCCCAAAUGCCCAUCAAUCAACAAAUGGAUAAAGAAAAUGUGGUAUAUAUAUACACCAUGGAAUAACACUCAACCAUAAAAAGGAACAAAAUAAUGGUAUUCGCAGCCACCUAGAUGGAAUUGGAGACCAUUAAUCUAAGUAAAGUAACUCAGGAAUGGAAAACCAAACAUCGUAUGUUCUCACUCAUAUGUGGGAGCUAAGCUGUGAGGAUGCAAAGGCAUAGGAAUGAUACACUGGACAUCGGGGACUCAGGAGAAACGUUGGGAGGGGGUGAGGGAUAAAAGACUACACAUUGGGUGCAGUGUACACUGCUCGGGAGAUGGAUACACCAAAAUCUCAGAAAUCCCCACUAAAGAGCUUAUUCAUGCAACCAAACACCACCUGCUCCCCAAAAACCUAUUGAAAUUAAAAAAGAAAAAGAAUCUCAGAGAAAAAAAUAAUAACGCAUGGCCCUGGACCCAUAGAUCCCCAUGUACUACAAGAGAAUGCUGUGGUACGCACCCCCAGGCCCCCCACAAAAAAAAAAGUCCUUUUUUAAAACUUUGGUAGAAUAUACAUAACAUAAAAUUCACUACUUUAACCAUUUGAAGUGCCCCACUUCACUUCAAAGAUACUGAUCUCUCCAUAUCAAAUUCAAAUCCAGUCCAUAAACUGGUUAAAAGUAUUUUAUACCCUUCAAAUACACAAAUUUUGUCUUAAAUUAUCAUAUAGUUUAAUUAUGAAUAUACUCCUCCUGAGAAAUGGUUUUAAAAUUCCAUUUAAUUCAAUUACCACUUUAGACAUGCUGAGUUGAGAUGCUUUAACUAUCUCCCCCAAAUCACCUGGGUAACAAAAAAGCAGAUAUUUUUAAAAACCUGAAUUAUAAAAUAAAAAUAAUAAAUCUGAUGGUAAAAUUCACAGUGACAAGGAUCAGACGGGACUGUGUAUAGUUUCAAGGUGGUCAAGGGCUCUAAAAGUCAACCUAUAAUACUAACAUCAAUGACAAAACAGAACAGCUCUUUCUAAGCACUUCUGAUAUGACAGGCACAGUACGAAGCUCUUUACAUCUAUUAACUCACACUA